rnacentral:lncRNA from 1 species
UAUAUUUAGCUCCAUACUUUGAUAUAUAAAGUACUUGCCGGUAAUGAAAAGAUAAUAAGUAGCAUACACGAGUUGGACGCGGAAAGGACGGCAUAUUCACAGGCAAAAUAUCUUAAUAUACAAUCAGCAGAGAACAAGUUUGAUGCUUGAUGUUGAUGUUGUUGUAGUUGAUGGAACAAAAUUUCGAAUUGACAAAUAAAGGAAAUGGUGACACACACGCAA